AAGUCGAACGAGAUCUUCGGAUCUAGUGGCGCACGGGUGAGUAACGCGUGGAAACCUGCCWAUCUGUACGGAAUAACGUUUGGAAACGAACGCUAAUACCGUAUACGCCCUGUGGGGGAAAGGUCCGCCGCAGAWWGAGGGGUCCGCGUCCGAUUAGCUWGUUGGURGGGUAAUGGCUUACCAAGGCGACGAUCGGUAGCUGGUCUGAGAGGAUGAUCAGCCACACUGGGACUGAGACACGGCCCAGACUCCUACGGGAGGCAGCAGUGGGGAAUAUUGGACAAUGGGGGCAACCCUGAUCCAGCAAUGCCGCGUGUGUGAUGAAGGCCUUAGGGUUGUAAAGCACUUUCAAUGGUGAAGAUGAUGACGGUAACCAUAGAAGAAGCCCCGGCUAACUUCGUGCCAGCAGCCGCGGUAAUACGAAGGGGGCGAGCGUUGUUCGGAAUUACUGGGCGUAAAGGGCGCGCAGGCGGUCWAAUYCAGUYAGGUGUGAAAKCCCCGGGCUUAACCUGGGAACUGCACUUAAUACUGWUUGACUAGAAAACGGAAGAGGAGAGUGGAAUUCCCAGUGUAGAGGUGAAAUUCGUAGAUAUUGGGAAGAACACCAGUGGCGAAAGCGGCUCUCUGGUCCGAUUUUGACGCUGAGGCGCGAAAGCGUGGGGAGCRAACAGGAUUAGAUACCCUGGUAGUCCACGCCGUAAACGAUGUUAACUAGUUGUCGGGGGGUYGCCCCUCGGUGACGCCGCUAACGCAUUAAGUUAACCGCCUGGGAAGUACGGUCGCAAGAUUAAAACUCAAAGGAAUUGACGGGGSCCGCA
rnacentral:rRNA from 1 species